rnacentral:rRNA from 1 species
UGGCGGCGAGCGGCGAACGGGUGAGUAACAUAUCCGGAACGUACCCCGUCGUGGGGGAUAACACAGCGAAAGCUGUGCUAAUACCGCAUACGACCUGAGGGUGAAAGCGGGGGAUCGCAAGACUUCGCGCGAUGGGAGCGGCCGAUAUCGGAUUAGCUUGUUGGUGAGGUUAAAAGGCUCACCAAGGCGACGAUCCGUAGCUGGUCUGAGAGGACGACCAGCCACACUGGAACUGAGACACGGUCCAGACUCCUACGGGAGGCAGCAGUGGGGAAUUUUGGACAAUGGGGGCAACCCUGAUCCAGCCAUUCCGCGUGAGUGAAGAAGGCCUUCGGGUUGUAAAGCUCUUUCAGCAGGAACGAAACGGUGGCCACUAAUACUGGCUACUAAUGACGGUACCUGAAGAAGAAGCACCGGCUAACUACGUGCCAGCAGCCGCGGUAAUACGUAGGGUGCGAGCGUUAAUCGGAAUUACUGGGCGUAAAGCGUGCGCAGGCGGUUCCAUAAGACAGAUGUGAAAUCCCCG